rnacentral:rRNA from 1 species
CCCUUAGAUGUCCGGGGCCGCACGCGCGCUACACUGAAGGAAUCAGCGUGGCUUUCUCCCUGACCCGAAAGGGUUGGGAAACCCGUUGAAUCUCCUUCGUGAUAGGGAUUGGGGCUUGAAAUUGUUCCCCAUGAACGAGGAAUUCCCAGUAAGCGCGAGUCAUAAGCUCUCGUUGAUUACGUCCCUGCCCUUUGUACACACCGCCCGUCGCUACUACCGAUUGAACGGUUUAGUGAGGGCCUCGGAUUGGUCUCGGCCCGCUCUUUACCGGGCGGCGCCGUUGGUCGAGAAGACGCUCGAACUUGAUCGUUUAGAGGAAGUAAAAGUCGUAACA